AUUGAACGCUGGCGGCAGGCCUACACAUGCAAGUCGAGCGGAUGAAGGGAGCUUGCUCCUGGAUUCAGCGGCGGACGGGUGAGUAAUGCCUAGGAAUCUGCCUGGUAGUGGGGGAUAACGUCCGGAAACGGGCGCUAAUACCGCAUACGUCCUGAGGGAGAAAGUGGGGGAUCUUCGGACCUCACGCUAUCGGAUGAGCCUAGGUCGGAUUAGCUAGUUGGUGGGGUAAAGGCCUACCAAGGCGACGAUCCGUAACUGGUCUGAGAGGAUGAUCAGUCACACUGGAACUGAGACACGGUCCAGACUCCUACGGGAGGCAGCAGUGGGGAAUAUUGGACAAUGGGCGAAAGCCUGAUCCAGCCAUGCCGCGUGUGUGAAGAAGGUCUUCGGAUUGUAAAGCACUUUAAGUUGGGAGGAAGGGCAGUAAGUUAAUACCUUGCUGUUUUGACGUUACCAACAGAAUAAGCACCGGCUAACUUCGUG
rnacentral:rRNA from 1 species